UUUAAAUGUAGCCAUGAGUUUUCGUGUUCAACUUUGAUCGACCGUCUUAUUUAAAUUUUUUUAUUAUAUAAUAAAACAUGAAUAAUACUUUAUGCGUGACCUAUGUUUUUGAUUUUUUUAAGAAAAACUUAAAUUGACGAAUAAUUAAAUUUAGACAUAGAAUCUUAUAUCUGCGCUCAAA
rfam:Oryza nivara chromosome 5, whole genome shotgun sequence.